UACGGAAGGCAGCAGGGGGGAAUAUUGCACAAUGGGCGCAAGCCUGAUGCAGCCAUGCCGCGUGUAUGAAGAAGGCCUUCGGGUUGUAAAGUACUUUCAGUCGUGAGGAAGGUGUUAAGGUUAAUAACCUUAGCAAUUGACGUUAGCGACAGAAGAAGCACCGGCUAACUCCGUGCCAGCAGCCGCGGUAAUACGGAGGGUGCGAGCGUUAAUCGGAAUUACUGGGCGUAAAGGGCACGCAGGCGGUUAAUUAAGUUGGAUGUGAAAUCCCCGGGCUUAACCUGGGAAUGGCAUUCAAGACUGGUUAGCUAGAGUCUUGUAGAGGGGGUAGAAUUCCAUGUGUAGCGGUGAAAUGCGUAGAGAUGUGGAGGAAUCCGGUGGCGAAGGCGGCCCCUGGACAAAGACUGACGCUCAUGUGCGAAAGCGUGGGGAGCAAACAGGGAUUAGAUACC
rnacentral:rRNA from 1 species